GGGAGAAUUAUACAAAGAACAAAGAAGUGGGCAUCUGCUGACAUGGGGGCCGAAGUCAGGCGCCAGGCAGCGGGCACUUUGC
rnacentral:miRNA from 1 species